GGGGUGAAGGGAUGAACAGGCAGGGCCACUGACCUCUCUGCCUGUGUCACAAAGGGAAGUGGGUAAUGCCUGGUGGAGACAUCAGGAGGUUUUCACGCUGCAUGGUUAUUUUCCAGCAUCCAUGUGUCAGUCCAGCACUGAUACCCAAGGAAAGAAUUCUGACCUCACUCAAGUCAGCGGGAACACAGAUCCUGGACACCCACCUGGCCUCCAGUGUCCACACGGACCACUGACCUCAGCAUGGUCUCCGGUGGCAGCCCAGCCCACAGACAUCCACAUGGCCUUCUGCAGGAGCAUGGACCGCGGACAUCCACAUGCCCCUGGUGAAAUGUUUCACCAGCUUCUAAAACAAAGCGAUGUCAUCAUUUGCUGAAAAGGAAAGUUGACUUCAUGAGCUGAGACCAGGAUGACCUCAACAGCACUGUGACAGCUAUAAUGACACAGAAGAGAGAAGUCUCUGGAAAAUGAGAAGAUGGGAUAUUUGGGCGGUGUCUAAAGGGACACCAUGACUGAGGCAACCCUUAAAAAGAAAAUGUUGAAUUGAGGGCUUACUUAUAGUUUCAGAGGUUAGUUCAUUAUUUUCAUGGCAGGGAUCAUGGUGACUGAUGGGUAGACGUGGUGCUGGAGCAGUAGCUGAGAACUGCAUCCUGAUCUGCAGGCAGAGAGAGACAGGGACUGGAGCAGGCUUGUGCGUUGGAAACCUCAUAGCCCACCCCACUAACACACUUCCUACCACAAGGCCACACCUCCCAGUCCUUCUCAAACAGUGCCAUACCUUGAUGACUAAACAUUCAGAUGUACGAGCCAAGGGGCCAUUCUCAACCAAACCACCACAGGCAGCAAUCUAGGAGACACUAUGCUCCCUUUGUUCCAGUGGGGUGGCCUGCUUUAUUCCUGGGGGGAAAUGAACUAUUUGAGAAUGAAGAGGUGUCAAGCGGUGGUGGCAUAUAGCUCUGACCCCAGCACUCAGGCUGGGAUAGAAGGAAUGGCCACCAGUUAGAAGCCAGUCUAUUCUAUACAGCCAAUUCUGGAUCAGCAAAAAGCCUAUCUAGUGAGCUCCUGUUCAAAAACCAACCCACAGUGGGGCUGGAGAAGAGGCUCACCA